UUUCCUACCCGGUCCCAAGGCCGCGUUUCGCGCCAUGGGGUCUUGGCAGCGUUUGUUGCGCCUUGGAGGGACGUCGCUUUUGGGUGGUGGCGGGGCCGCCGCCCUGCUCGGGGGAAGGAGAGUGUUGGUGUGUCGGCGCCAGUUGUCUGGUGCUGACAGCAAGACCAUGGAACAAAGAAGAGUUCAAAUCAUGGCCCGAGGACUUCCGAAGCAGAGACCCAUAGAAGGUGUUAAGCAAGUUGUGGUUGUGGCUUCUGGCAAGGGUGGAGUUGGAAAGUCUACUACAGCAGUGAACCUUGCCCUUGCGCUAGCAGCGAAUGACUCGUCAAAGGCAGUUGGCUUGUUAGAUGUGGAUGUGUAUGGUCCUUCAAUUCCAAAGAUGAUGAAUCUGAAAGGAAACCCAGAGUUAUCACAGAGUAACCUCAUGAGGCCUCUUUUGAACUAUGGUAUUGCUUGUAUGUCCAUGGGCUUCCUGGUGGAAGAGACUGCUCCAGUUGUCUGGAGAGGCCUAAUGGUGAUGUCAGCCGUUGAGAAGCUGUUGAGGCAGGUAGAUUGGGGUCAACUGGACUAUUUGGUUGUUGAUAUGCCACCAGGAACUGGAGAUGUGCAGUUAUCAGUCUCACAGAAUAUUCCCAUUUCAGGUGCUGUGAUUGUCUCCACGCCCCAGGAUGUUGCACUGAUGGAUGCUCGCAAGGGUGCAGAGAUGUUUCGAAAAGUUCAUGUGCCUGUUCUUGGCCUUAUCCAGAACAUGAGCGUUUUCCAGUGUCCAAAAUGUAAGCACAAAACUCAUAUUUUUGGUGCCGAUGGUGCAAGGAAACUAGCACAGACCCUUGAUCUUGAUGUUCUGGGCCAAAGCUUACCUGCGGAUCGCUGUGGAAGUGGUGAAGAGAUUGCCUCCACCUCCAGCAUGAUGCCCAGGCAUGGGGAAGUUGACAGCAAGAGGACCUUCCGAAACCAACAGCGUGGUGGGAGCACCUGCCAGGAUAGGAGCAGUCCCAGUUGGUGUUUUGUUUUGUUUUGUUUUGUUUUGUUUUGUUUCCCCAAGGAAAUGAUGUCUUAUUUUCAGAUUUUAUUUGCAAUGGCCUGACUUAACAAAAUCGUUACAUAUCAGUGUUCACUAUUAUAUUCCAGAAUUUUCUUUUUAAGCCAUUGUAUAUCAGCUGCACAGAAUUGCACCUUGUCUUGUUAAACGGUCUUUUGAGGAAACCUGAGUUUAAGAUGUCAGAAUCCAUCUCAGGAGAGAACUGCACUGAUUUUGAGAAUCACCUUGUUUGGUCAUUGAGAGAAUUUGCUAAAUUUAUUUGUAGAUGUGCACAGUUUGCUGUCUGCCUGAAUCCCUUCUCUCUCUUGAUAUGUUCUCAGUACACAGGAGUCUCUGUUUUCUCAUCAGGGCCAGGCUGAACCCCAGACUUGGUGAUUCCAAGUUUCUGGAGGAUGGAGAAGGUCAUACCCACCAGAAAACUGAAGAUGUUCUAAAAGCAUCCUGAAAUGUAAGGAAAGACAGACCCAUCUGGAUGCAAGCAGGGCCUUCCAUCUGGAAGAGUACAGACGAAAACGAUGCCAAGCUCCCUACAAAGGGGAAUGAAGAUUGUUCGCAGUCAUCACAGCAAGGACAUUCCAGGAAAUGUUGAUAUUGCUUUAAAGGAGCACCGAGUUCUUGUCCAGGGUCCCAGUGGGCCUCUAUGGAGGAGCUUCAGUCACGGCGGUGUAGGACUCAGCCUCCUUGGAAAGACAGAGGGGAAAGACCAAGGCACUGAUGGAGUGACCCCUGCGCCGGUCCCUCACUCUUGGGAGGAACAGUGACAAUGCACACACUAGACUUGCCUUCCAGAGGCUCACAUACUCCCUCCUUCUCAUUGCUCCCACAGACCUGCUCCUGUAGGAUGCUGGAAUUGGGGAGCUGCAGCACAUCUGUGUCAGAGAACCACCAGAGGACAUGGGUGUCUUCCAGGGAGUUGCUUGGGGCCACCUUGGAGUGAGAAUGGUUCUCACCUUGUCCCAGAGAAAUUGAGCUCCCAGGUAAGCGUGUGUAAAGCAUGGGAAUUGUGCGUAGCACAUAGCCAGCGAGCAAGGUUAUAUAUCCUGAUUCAUGUUAUUACCGCCAUUGUUCUCUCCAUAGGCAAUUCCAAGGCCCUGGGUUAUCAUGCUUGGAUAAUGUUCCCAUCUUCCAGAUUGUGGGGUAGAUUUUGGAAUCAGUAGUAGCCCAGCUGAUGAAGGAAAGCUUUGACAGCCUCAGCGCUGAGUCCAUCAGACGCCUCAGACCCUCAGCGUACAUCUUAUUUUUGCUGAGUCACCACCAUCAGCUGACUCCAGCAGAGUCUCUGUAAUUCACCCGGGCACUGCUGAAGGGACGAGCCCGUGGUGUGCAGUCUUGUGAUGGCCUGAGUCAAAUGAGGCGCAGCCAGAUUGCUAAGCCCACACCUUCCAGUAUUUGGUGCUCGGCAUUCGGCUUCUGAGAUUGCUUAUUGUGUGUGGCAGUCUAGGUCAACAGAGACGUUUUGGAGAGAGUAACAUACAUCCAAGUCUGAGUAAUUUAAAGCCUGGUUGAAAUGGGGCAGAAGGAGCCCAGAAUAUGCAGGUCUGGAUCUUGGCUGGGGACACAUGGAAGACUUGAGGCGCCAGACGGCUGGCCUCCCUCCAAGUGUUUACCACCCUGG